AUGGCCUACGGGAGGCAGCAGUGAGGAAUAUUGGUCAAUGGACGCAAGUCUGAACCAGCCAUGCCGCGUGCAGGAAGACGGCUCUAUGAGUUGUAAACUGCUUUUGUACGAGGGUAAACGCAGAUACGUGUAUCUGUCUGAAAGUAUCGUACGAAAAAGCAUCGGCUAACUCCGUGCCAGCAGCCGCGGUAAUACGGAGGAUGCGAGCGUUAUCCGGAUUUAUUGGGUUUAAAGGGUGCGUAGGCGGAGUGUCAAGUCAGCGGUAAAAUUUCGGGGCUCAACCCCGUCGUGCCGUUGAAACUGAC
rnacentral:rRNA from 1 species